rnacentral:rRNA from 1 species
UACAGAGGUCCCGAGCGUUGUUCGGAUUCAUUGGGCGUAAAGGGUGCGUAGGCGGCGGGGCAAGUCUGAUGUGAAAUCCCGGGGCUCAACCCCGGAACUGCAUUGGAUACUGCCUUGCUAGAGUACUGGAGAGGGAACUGGAAUUUACGGUGUAGCAGUGAAAUGCGUAGAGAUCGUAAGGAAGGCCAGUGGCGAAGGCGAGUUCCUGGACAGUUACUGACGCUGAGGCACGAAGGCCAGGGGGAGCAAAACGGGG